AUUGAACGCUGGCGGCAGGCCUAACACAUGCAAGUCGAACGAGUGGCGGACGGGUGAGUAAUGUCUGGGAAUCUGCCUGAUGGAGGGGGAUAACUACUGGAAACGGUAGCUAAUACCGCAUACCAUCGGAUGUGCCCAGAUGGGAUUAGCUAGUAGGUGGGGUAAAGGCUCACCUAGGCGACGAUCCCUAGCUGGUCUGAGAGGAUGACCAGCCACACUGGAACUGAGACACGCUCCAGACUCCUUGGGGAGGGAGCAUGGGGGAAUAUUGCACAAUGGGCGCAGGACUGUUGCAGCCAGGCCGCGUGUAUGAAGAAGGCCUGCGUGUUAUAAAGUACUUUCAGCGGGGAGGCGUUACUCGCAGAAGAAGCACCGGCUAACUCCGUGCCAGCGGCCGCGGUAAUA
rnacentral:rRNA from 1 species